ACGGAGGAUGCAAGCGUUAUCCGGAAUCAUUGGGUUUAAAGGGUACGCAGGCGGAUUCUUAAGUCAGAGGUGAAAGCCUGGAGCUCAACUGUAGAACUGCCAUUGAUACUGGUAGUCUUGAGUUUGGUAGAGGUAAGUGGAACUGCGAGUGUAGAGGUUAAAUGCUUAGAUAUUCGCAAGAACACCAGUGGCGAAGGCGGCUCACUGGCCCGAUACUGACGCUGAGGUGCGAAAGCGUGGGGAGCAAACAG
rnacentral:rRNA from 1 species